AAUGGUGUCCGGCAGUAGCAACGGGGCUAUUCUCCCCCGAACCCUCUCAUGCACUCAAUGUGCACUGGGCCUUCAAGAGUGCUUUCGAGCACAGUGCCCGAAGAAAGAAGUGCACAGGCCUUCAAGAGCGCUUUUGAGCACAGUGUUUGAAGUAAGAAGCUCAAGUCGAAGUCUGGGAAAGUCCAUGUGCUCUGGACUCUACUGUUGCUUGGUUUUCUUCUCUGGCCUUUGCUUCCGUCCACCUCACCAAAUACGGCAUCUCGGCAAAGCCCGCCCCUGGUGUCACCGUUAGAUCACAGGAUCACCUGUACUAACCCUGUACGUACUUCUACGUUAUUCUUUUUUGAAUAAAUGCGGUUCAUCUGA